rnacentral:rRNA from 1 species
AGAGUUUGAUCCUGGCUCAGGACGAACGCUGGCGGCGUGCUUAACACAUGCAAGUUGAACGGAGGCAUAUCAUCACGACUUUUCGGAGGAGAGAUGAUGUGUUCUUAGUAGCGGACGGGUGAGUAAUGCAUGAGAACCUGUCCUUCAGAGGGGGACAACAGUUGGAAACGGCUGCUAAUACCCCAUAUGCCGAGAGGUGAAAGGAGUAAUCCGCUGAAGGAGGGGCUCAUGUCCUAUCAGUUAGUUGGUGAGGUAAAGGCUUACCAAGGCGAUGACGGGUAGCCGGCCUGAGAGGGUGACCGGCCACAUUGGAACUGAGAUACGGUCCAGACUCCUACGGGAGGCAGCAGUGGGGAAUAUUGGGCAAUGGGCGGAAGCCUGACCCAGCGACGCCGCGUGAGGGAAGAAGGCCUUUGGGUCGUAAACCUCUGUUGUAUGGGAAGAAGGAAGUGACGGUACCAUACGAGGAAGUCCCGGCUAACUACGUGCCAGCAGCCGCGGUAAUACGUAGGGGACGAGCGUUGUCCGGAAUUACUGGGCGUAAAGGGCGCGCAGGCGGAUAUUUAAGUCAGCUGUAAAAGGCAUGAGCUCAACUCAUGUAUGCGGUUGAAACUGGGUAUCUAGAGUGCUGGAGAGGUAGGUGGAAUUCCCGGUGUAGCGGUGAAAUGCGUAGAUAUCGGGAAGAACACCAGUGGCGAAGGCGGCUUACUGGGCCAGCAACUGACGCUGAGGCGCGAAAGCCA